AUUGAACGCUGGCGGCAGGCCUAACACAUGCAAGUCGAACGAGUGGCGGACGGGUGAGUAAUGUCUGGGAAACUGCCUGAUGGAGGGGGAUAACUACUGGAAACGGUAGCUAAUACCGCAUACCAUCGGAUGUGCCCAGAUGGGAUUAGCUAGUAGGUGGGGUAAAGGCUCACCUAGGCGACGAUCCCUAGCUGGUCUGAGAGGAUGACAGGUCACACUGGAACUGAGACAAGCUCCAUACCCCUACGAGAGGCAGCAGUAGGGAAUAUUGCAAAAGGGGCGCAAGCCUGAUGCAGCCAUUCCGCGUGUAUGAAGAAGGCCUUCUGGUUGUAAAGUACUUUCAGCGGGGAGGCGUUACCCGCAGAAGAAGCACCGGCUAACUCCGUGCCAACCGCCGCGGGAAUUC
rnacentral:rRNA from 1 species